CUGAAAUCAAGGUCGCGCUGUUUUUCUUCGUCGUGUUUGUUGUUCUUACCUGGGAAGAAUAUUGGAAAUCAGGGACAUAAAGUCACUAUUCGCUUGACGCUGACAUCUAUAUACUGUUCCAUUGUCUGUAUAAUAUGAAGAAACUAGUGUUGCUUCUGAUCAUGUUACUUAUUGUGACUUCAUUCGUUGAUGGUGGUAGUUAUAUACGACGACGAAUGGUGAAACACCACGUAAACAAAAUCCAAAAAGACAAAAAGGUUUUGGAAGAAAGAAUAAAAGAAAUACAAGGUCGAGAAAGCGGAUGACACUAUGUCAAUCAAGAAAUGGAAAUACCAAUUUAUGUCGUUGUUGGUUUAUACAUGUACAUACUAUCUUGUUUAGAUGGUAGAUUAUGUCAAUAAAAAUACGGCCUUAUAAGCUGCAUAUCAUGUUAUGUUAAGCAGGAGGGUGUUAGUAAAGUUGUUUAAAUAUACAAUAAU